rnacentral:lncRNA from 1 species
CCACUUUCAGCGUCUAAAGUUUUCAAACCACCUGAGGAUGCCAUUAACAGUCCCUCUAAUGAACCUUCUUCUGGACCUUGGGUCCCUAUUUCUGCAAAAAUAUCCUUCCACCACUCGAUGCCAUCUUGAUCUUGCAGCGGUGUUGCUGGUGAUUUUAUCUUGUUGAUGAUUAUAUUACUAUUAUUGUUGUCAUUGUUGUUAAUGUCGUUGCCGCUAAUUUUAUCAUAUAUUAUUUCCCCAGGCAAAGGAGAGUGCAUGUCACAAUGGGUAUUCAGAUUACAGCAGGGUAUGCUUGCCCCUUUUGAUAAGGUCCGGGGAAGGGGCUUCAAAACUUCAUGAGUACUCGCAUUACUAGUAGUCGCACUGCUUGUUUGUUUCCGAUUAAUGAGCUCUUCCUCUUCCACCACCUGUUUCUGGCCAUGGUAGCUGGUAGUUGUAAGUUUUUUGUGAAAGUUGGUGUUCCAGAAGUUCUUAACGUCAUUAGCUGUCCUUCCGGGAAGUCUUCCGGCAAUUAGUGACCAUCUACAUUCAAUAACACACAUGAUUUAACACAUGCAUAGAUGAUUGUGUAAAGCAACAUAAAAUAGAGCUCUUGUAUUUAACAUGCAACUUUAUUUUUGUAAGAAGUUUAUAUUAAGUUUUUAUUUGUAAGAAUGUUACUGGGCUGUUUGGGUGAGCUUAAAAUAAAUGCUUAUUGCUUAAAGUAAAAAAGUGAAGUAGAAGUUAGAAGCAAGUUAAGACUUAUAAGUGAUAAAAGUGUUUGGGAAAUAAGUAGAAACCGUGAGACAAAAGCUAGUAAUCGUAGCUUUUUUUAAGUACUUCUUGACUUUUUACACAAACGGUACAAUAAGUGCUUCUAACUUAUAAUUCAGAAGCCGAGCUUAUAAGCCCGUGCCAAACGCCCAUAGUUUCAUACAUGUUAAAACUUCAAAUGAUAAAAAGUUGCGUGAGAUAUAUAUGUUUGGCUGAGUUCCAUGGAGAAGAAGACAAAUAAGAAGUAGAAUUUGUAAAAAAUUAACUUUCUUAAUUUUCAACUAAUUAACUCCUCUCGAGAAUACUUUUCGAAAGUGUUUCUAAUUUUAACACAAAUGAUUCAAAGAAAAAGCACAAGCAUGUCUUUUAUUAAAAGAAUGUGUUUCUCGUUGCAAAAGAGGCACAUAGUUCGACUCUAAUUAAUCAGAAUUUUUUUUAUAGUUAUGUCAUACCUCCAGGACUUGUGAGUCAUAACUUAUAAUGAUAAACAGCUGGGUCCAGACAAUUGCUAAGAAAUUCUACGAGUGUGGAUUAUAAGCUAGGUUUCUUUGUUUCUUUUUUGUUUUAUUAAGAAAAGACUGUGCUUUGAAAUAGAAUACAACUGCAAAUAACUGAACUGCGAAUUGCACGCGCAAACUGAUUAGUUUUAUUAGAGCUUUUAGCAUGAUUUAAAUUCAAAUAAUAGUUUGAGCGAAUAAAAAUAUUAGCUAGAGGAAACUAUAUGUGUUGAUCAUCUCUACCUCAUGAAACUUAAAAUCAUGAUAUACGUCAUUUAAUAUCAUUUCAUGCUGUACGAGUGAGUGAGCUUGCCUGUUUCCCAGUAACUUGUGAAGCCGCACCAUGAGAUCCACUUCAUCCGCAGCGAAGUCCCCUCUCUUGAUAGUUGGUCGUAGAUAGUUGAGCCACCUUAGUCUACAGCUCUUUCUGCAUCUAUUCAACCCUGCAAAAGAAGGAAACUAUUUACAUUCACAUCACCAGUAAUGUGAUGAUAAAAUACUUCAUAAUAAAAUUGAGUACAAAUUUUUUCACAAAAUAACACGUGUUAAGUUUUGAUUGGAACGAGUUCUUAUAUUCAAAUAUAUAACACCAAUUAAAACAUCUCGUCUCAAUUAUCACGUUAUUUGGUACGCGUGUUGAGUUAAUUAAGUUGCAGUGUGUGCGUGUGUGGACUAUGGAGAGAGAUCUGUACCUGCUCUACGAGGGACAAGAUGCCACUUCCCUUCACCAUACUUGUCAAUACAUUUUCUGAGAAGGGCAUCCUCAUCAGAACCCCAUGCACCCUUUCGGACCUUCAAAGGAUUACCAGUGCUCUUGAUCAUAUCCUUUGAACACACUUUCCGCUUCAAGUUAGUAUUAGAUAAAUAUCAAUCUAAUGAUGCAGCGUGCUGUCUGCCUGGAGCUCGCAUCUGUUUUAUACAGAUAGUCAAUCUAGCUCAACUAGUUAACCUCUACGUGCUUCUUUUUCCGCCACAACAUACGUAAAUCCAUAAGCCACCCCAGAAUAUACUGCUUCUUAUCAUCCUAAUUACUUGUUCUCUUUCUAUUUUUAUUUUUUUUGCGUAAAACAAUAUUUAUUUCUUUACAACAGAUAAAUAUUUUACGUUUUCAUUCAGUUGAUAGCAUAUCAUAUUAGUAUUUUCACGGGUCACUAAAUCUACUUAUCUACUUAUCUAUAUAAUAGCCCAACACGUUCGUGUCAAACCUCUCUCCUGAGCAAAUAAAUUACCCAAAUGUGUUUGCUUAUACUAGAUUAAUAUUAAUUUUCUUGAUUUUGGUUUUAGGUUUCCUCUUAAUUCUAAUUCAUUAUUUGCAGAACAAGAUGAUAUUUGAGUUUGGGAGAUAAAAACUAUGAAACAAUUUUAAAAUACAGUGAAGGACAAUUACGAGUACAGAACAAGGAGACAAAUCAAAGGUCAUAUUAAUAGCCUGGCGCUUUGCAGAAUAACGAUCCUGGACGAAUAACGCUUGCAAGUGAAUAACAGUUAUACAUGAGUCUAUCAAUAUACAAUUCAUUUAAAAAAAAGUUGAUUUUGCAGCCUUAGAUAGAAAGAGAUGGACGAUGUAGAUGGAAGAUUCUAAGAUCGAACUUAAACCUAUUUUGAGUUCAUACAGUCUAAACUAAACUAGUCAUUAUAAAUCAAUUCUUGUUUGUAAAUAUCCAUAAUAAUAAGAAUUUUUUAGUUAUUAAUUAUUGUAAAUUAAUUAUACUCCUCCUAUCCCAUUCAAUCGUAUAUAAUCCUUUUAAUAAUCGAUACGCAUUUUAAGAUAAAUAUAAAAUCUAAUUUAAUAAUUUUUUAAAUACAUAUUUUAUUUUUUAUAUGUUCCAGAUAUCGCAGUAUAAAUACGAAUCGUUAGAUCUUAUUACUUGAUAAACAGUUAUAUACAUGAUAACAAAAGAUAUUUAUAUAUAAUAUUUAAAUAUGAAAAAUUGUUAAUAUUUUCAAUGAUCUAAAUCAAUUUUAUGUAGGUUUUGUAAAUAGAAUAAGCCUCUUAUUUUUUUUUUAAUUUUUUUGCGUUCUAAACUAAAUAUAAGUAGAUUUUGUAAAAUUAAAAAAAAAGAUUUUAUAAUGAAAAUAUUACCUUUUUAUGUUUAAACCAGAUAAAAGAAGGUCUUGAAAUAUAAUAUUUUUCUUAUUAAAAAAUUCAUAACUAUUUUCCUGCCUUCAAUUCUCUGUUUUAAUUUAAAUAUAAUUAUUAAACCAUCACUAUUGUUUUUUUAUUUUCACUCAUUUGAAGAUCUUAAACUCCCAUCACGUGUAUAUAUCAGCCUAUAAAAUAUUUAUAAAUAAUUCAUAAAGUAAAUUUAUAUUUUCAAAAAACCACGUACGGCUACUGAGUGAGUCAUGGUGAGCGUAUGUCCGGAAGAUUAAAUUUCCUCCUAAAAUCAAACAAUUCGUUUAGAAUAUUCGGGCUGGAGCAAAUAUUAUUCUCGAUGUACGACUGUCUGAAACUGUUGAGGAUAUAUAUAUCACGUGUUUUUAAGAUGUCCUAACCUGAGUAAUAUGCCGAGAAUUUUAAUAACUUUGAUAAUUGAUAGUCAUCUUGUAAAUUUAACAGGUGCACAUGGAGGUUUCAAAAAAUGAUUUUGAUGUUUUUUAUUGUCUUUCGCCAAUUAUAAUAUGUCCAAAAUAUAAUUGAAUAUUAUUGAGCUAUCCCUUGUACGUAAUAAGGAGGUGGUCGAGUGGUACUGUUACUCGUUAGCCCGGAGCUAGCGAGUGAGAGAUUAAUCGAUUCAUAAACGGAAAAUUGGUGGUACAAAUUAAAACAUUCAUAUCCUGGUCUAAUAAGUAAUGAUAUUAAUGUCUCGAUGGACAUUUUAUUCCUUAACGUGAUAAUAUAAUUCAAAUUAUGCUGCACCGUGAGCAUCAUAAUUCAUAAUUAGCAGGGUGAGCUUGCCUGUUUCCCAGUAACCUGUGAAGCCGCAUCAUAAGAUCCACUUCAUCAGCACUCAAGUCCCCUCUCCUCAUGCUUGGCCUAAGAUAGUUCAACCACCUUAAUCUACAGCUUUUUCUGCAUCUGUCCAGCCCUGCAAUACCUCAAAACUAACCUACAUAAACUGCACGGACAUGCAUGCAUGUGUGCAAUUUGAUUACACUAACCUUAAACUGAAAUAAAUAAUCCCUAUAUACCUAUAACUUAACUUGUAGAGGGGGGGAGGGGGUGGAGAGAGAGAGGGAGGGGGGAGGGAGAGAGAGAGAGAGAGAGAGAGAGAGAGAGACCUGCUCUCUGAGGAACAAGGUGCCACUUUCCUUCUCCAUAGUAGUGAAUGCAUUCUCGGAGAAGAGCAUCUUCAUCUGAACUCCAUGCACCCUUACGCAGCUUCAAAGCGCUAACAUUCUCCAUAGCUUUGGGAUGCAUACUGAAGUUCUUGCAGAUUGGGGAUCCGAUUCACCUUAUAUAAAUAUACAAAUAGAGUUGGCUCUUUCAUUUCUAGAUUCCACAAAUCAUUCCAAUGUGUUGUCUACCUUUCUCCACCUGUUCAACGGAUAACUGAAAACGUUACGUAGCCCAAUCAUUAGCUUAAAGUUGGACGUGCCUCUUUAUUUGCCAUAUAACAUGGAGGCACUGAUUUUACCACAAUUACACUGAAUUUUAUCAUUCCUUUUCUCGUUAAUGUGAAAAUAAAUAUGAUCAGAAAACAGUACACAGUAAUUCACAUCAAUAAAUUCGAUAGAAUGUUCUUAGAUAAUAUCUGAUAUACAAAUAUAUAAGCUAGUAUAUUUUAUAAGUCCUAUUUAAUUAGCAUGGUUUACGGCUUGGUAUAAGCAUUGUCAAAUAAGCCAAAUUGGAAUCCUUCGGUUCUAUUGGCCGCUGUAUUAUUAAACCUUGUAGUUCUGGAUUUUAUGCCGAUUUCUAAUUUUCUGGAAGUAUCUUCGUACGUUCGAUAGAGAGGUCCCCUUAUUUGGAUGUAGCGCUAAUAUCACUAUUGUGGCACUACAGUCCUUGCCGGAGAAAAUUAAGUUGAACAUGUUACCAUCUCAUUUAUGAUUUCUUGGCAUUGUAUAAUCGACUUCUGGAUCUCAUCAAUAAAAUUUUUGUACUCUCGGCAAGUCGCAGGCACCUCUCUAUAGGGGGCCAAAUUCAUGCAUCAGCACCUAUUAUUUUAAAAUUUUCGUAAAAUUUUUAUCUAUUUUACUUUAGGGUGUUGAAUUUGUAUACGCUUCAUCUUUGUGACCACGAAUUCUAUUUUGUAGUUUUAUGUCAACAAUGGCAUUCUAUCCUAUUUUUAUUAAUAAAUGGAUCCCUUUAAUUUUAAGUGGAUUAUCAGAAGUAAAUUACAAAUUUUAAUUAUUAUUAUAUAAUUUUUUUAAUAUAUUGAUUUAAUUUUUAAUACCGACAAUUUAAUUUAUGAAACAAUUCGUUAAAAACUAUAUAAUAUUUCAGAAUUCAAAUAAAAAAUAGUAUAAUUGGUAUUAUUAAUCAAAUUCAUAAUACAAAAUUUAAUUCAAACGGUAAAGUAUAAGAGUUGGUGGUAACACAAACUCAAACUCGGCCGAGAAUUAAUGAGGCCCCUGCCACUAUCUCAACACAAUUAUUGAUAUUGCAGCAUAUUGUGAAAGGAUUGCAACAACACAUUGUCAAAAAAAAAAAUUCAUAAUAAAUUGGUUUUCAACUAAAACUAUAUAAGUUAAAUAUUCUGUUAGACUUCAAAUAACUAUAAAUUAGACAUAAAAAGAAAAUUCAACUAAAGGUUACACAUAACAUUUAUCAUGUCUAAAACAAUUUUGAAUUAAAAUUUUUAAAUUUUACUAAAAAUUCCCUUACAAGCAAAUUUAAAUUUGUUGCUGCUAAAUAUUUUUUACUAUAUUUACUAAAACAAAACACUACACGAAAAACGGCUAAAUUGGACCGCUAAUUUUGACAUGUGGAUAUUUUCAACCGUUUAUGAUCGAAAAUAGAAAUAGUAGAUUAGUUGAUUGAAAUAGUUAAAAAAAUGACUAAAACUGGUCAAAUAUGGUCACUGUAAAAAAGGAGCAGUCAAUUUUAUUCUCACCAGUUUUUCAUGCCCGCUGAUUUGGUUGAAAAUAUUUAUGAUCGAAAAUAUUUUCAUUACUGGAAUUUUGCUGUAUUUUCCAACUGUAAAUUUUCGUGAUAAUCCCACACCCUUUCAGUUUUCGACCAGAAAUGGACGAAAAUAUAUAUUCAACCGAAAACGAUCAAAAAAAUGUAUUCAACUAGGUCUAGUUCUUCUUUCUAUUACCCCGUUGUCGCUUUUUUCCCCCUCUUUCUUUCUUUCCUUCCCAAACUCAAGAUUAUCAUAUAAAAUCUUCGUAUGACAUCAAGUAUUUUUUUAGUCAUUCAUUACCUAUAUAGAGUUAUGUUUGUAUUCAUUAUAUUGAGGUGUUUGUACCAUCAUUCUCUGGACUCGCUGGCGACAUCUGCCGCUCGGAUCUGAACAAGUCGGCUACUCCUACUAAUCAGUUUGAAACUCGCUAUCAAAGAGCAGCUGCUCGUUGAGUUUUCGUCGGAUAUUUGAUUCCGGCAAUCAGACAGUCACGAGUAGCACCAAAUAUUAAAUACAAAUAGGCUUUUUGACCUUUUAAGUACCCUCAAAGUUUGGAGUUGCACCGACGCGGUCGUGAUGUUUUAACUUGGUCGAUUCAAACCUCCAAAUUUCACAAAUGUUCGUUUUAACUCUCAUGCCGAUAUGAAUGAAAAGGAUAUAUAUACUUUGGUUUUCCUUGUCUUCGGGAUUCUGUUUCCUCUAACUGGGCUGUGGCAUAACACUAAGAAAUCAUGAUAUGAUAUACUAACAUUAAAAAAAAAGCCACCCGAUUUUAUAUAAAUACACCGUCGUUAAUUUUGUAAAGUUGAUGAUCACAAUAGGAGCUGCAUGUAGUCAACAUAGAAGCGUGAUAAAUAUUGUAACCUAAGAAGUUAUUCAGAAGACAAUAAACAACUACACAUAUUCAUAUCAACAAACACCAGACUGCAUCAAAAUACUAAUACAACUUGUCUAUAAAUCUCUUUUCGAUAAUUAAAGACUGGCUACUGAAUGCAUUUAAAUUGUUAUUGCAACUUAAUCAACUAUAGUCCUGGUUCAGAAGAUCCAAAAUGUCACUCCAGCAACUCCGGACAUCUUCAUCUGGUAAGGCGGUGGUUGCAGUUGCUGGAUCGAAUGAUUCAUCCUUCUUCCAAAUUAGACCACUUUCAGCUUCUAAAUUUUUCAAACCACCCGAGGAUGCCAUUAACUGUCCCUCUAAUGAACCUUCUUCUUGACCUUGGGUCCCUAUUUCUGCAAAAAUAUCCUUCCACCACUCGAUGCCAUCCUGAUCUUGCAGCGGUGUUCCUGGUGAUGUUAUCUUGUUGAUGAUUAUAUUAUUAUUGUUGUCGUUGUUGAUGUUGCUGCUGCUAAUUUUAUCAUAUAUUAUUUCCCCAGGCAAAGGAGAGUGCAUGUCACAAUGGGUAUUCAGAUUACAGCAGGGUACGCUUGCCCCUUUUGAUAAGGUCCGGGGAAGGGGCUUCACAACUUCAUGAGUAGUCGCA